rnacentral:pre_miRNA from 1 species
UAAAUAUUCCCUCCGUCCGGAAAUACUUGUCGAAGGAAUGGACGUAUUUUAGUGUUAGAUACAUCCAUUUUUAGUCAUUUUUACAACAAGUAUUUCUGGGUGGAGGGAGUAUGAG